UCUGCGCCCCGGCUUGAGUGGAACUCUUUUUGGCAUUGCGGUAUUUACCUAUACUUUUAAUAAAAAAUCUUCGACAGCAAUGGCAAAAAAGUCGGAACGGAAGACGGAAAUGUGC
rnacentral:misc_RNA from 1 species